UUAAAAAUGCCUAAAUGCUAAUUUCCUGGAAUACUGAGCAUCUUUAUCUAACCUAAUAUUUCAUGCUUGUUCAGUGGUUAUUAUAACUUAAAAGAUCACUAUAGGGUCAGGAACAGGAACAUGUAUUCCUGAACCUAUAGGGAAAACCCACCAUUUAUGUGGCUUGCCUCCUUAACUCCCUCAGAAUGGAAAGAUAAAACUUACCUUAUUUUCAGCCAUCCAUGGGUCUGCCAGCGCUGGCCCCGCCCCCUUGGUGACAUCAUCAAAAGUGCCGAUUUUUAG